rnacentral:rRNA from 1 species
UGGGGAAUUUUGGACAAUGGGCGAAAGCCUGAUCCAGCAAUGCCGCGUGUGUGAAGAAGGCCUUCGGGUUGUAAAGCACUUUUGUCCGGAAAGAAAUCCUUGGCUCUAAUACAGUCGGGGGAUGACGGUACCGGAAGAAUAAGCACCGGCUAACUACGUGCCAGCAGCCGCGGUAAUACGUAGGGUGCAAGCGUUAAUCGGAAUUACUGGGCGUAAAGCGUGCGCAGGCGGUUUGCUAAGACCGAUGUGAAAUCCCCGGGCUCAACCUGGGAACUGCAUUGGUGACUGGCAGGCUAGAGUAUGGCAGAGGGGGGUAGAAUUCCACGUGUAGCAGUGAAAUGCGUAGAGAUGUGGAGGAAUACCGAUGGCGAAGGCAGCCCCCUGGGCCAAUACUGACGCUCAUGCACGAAAGCGUGGGGAGCAAACAGGAUUAGAUACCCUGGUAGUCCCACGCCCUAAAACGAUGUCAACUAGUUGUUGGGGAUUCAUUUCCUUAGUAACGUAGCUAACGCGUGAAGUUGACCGCCUGGGGAGUACGGUCGCAAGAUUAAAACUUAAAUGAAUUGACGGGGUCAUAGCUGUUUCCU